rnacentral:rRNA from 1 species
UACAGAGGUCUCAAGCGUUGUUCGGAAUCACUGGGCGUAAAGGGUGCGUAGGCUGCACGGUAAGUCAGAGGUGAAAUCCCGGAGCUCAACUUCGGAAUUGCCUCCGAUACUGCCGUGCUUGAGGACUGGAGAGGAGUCUGGAAUUCACAGUGGAGCAGUGAAAUGCGUAGAUAUUGUGAGGAACACUAGUGGCGAAGGCGAGACUCUGGACAGUUCCUGACGCUGAGGCACGAAGGCCAGGGGAGCAAACGGG